CCCAGUAUUGAGAGACUGGACCCCUUCGCCUCUCUUCAGCAAGAGGGAACGCCAGCGCAGAUACCUGAGCCUCAGCCCCUGGGACAAGGUUACACUCAGCCUGGGUCGUGGUAUUCUCUCCAACAAGAUGGCCAGAACCAUUGCUUUCUUUUACACCCUCUUCCUGCAUUGCCUGGUCUUCCUGGUGCUGUAUAAGACUGCCUGGAGUGAGAGCAUCGGUCGAGACUGCUCGGCCUUCUGUGCUAAGAAGUACUCGGAUCACCUACAUCGUUUCCAUGAGAACGGGGACAACCUGUGAUGAGCACGUGGCAGUGAUGUCAACAGGGAUGUCAACAAGUUGUCGUGGCGAGGCUAAGGACAGACUGGAAAAGCAGCUUUAUUUUCUCCAGUAGCUGCUUUUGCCCACUAUGGGGUGUGCUUUCUCUCUGCUGGGGGGGGAGGGGGGGGGAAGAGAGAGACUAAGGGGAAGUGGCUGACAUGCAAACUCAAAUUACAAUUUCCAAUUAGGUUAAGAGUUUGGUUAAGGUUAGGGUUAAUGUAAAAGUCAGUUAUAGAUGUUGACUAGUCAGGCUGUCAGAAAAAUCCCCUUAGGCUCUCUCCCCAGUGUCAAGGCAUAGAAACUAACUGCUUAUGAAAGAGAAUUUAACCAAGUUUGUCAGACAUUUUGUCACACCUUAGACCAUGUUGUGUGAAAAUGUCAAACUUUGAUUUAAAGAGUAAACUAUUCGUCUAAGGUCUUGGAUAGUCCUCUGCUACUUUAACAUUGAUAUGUUAAAGAAGAAUGUUAAUUAACUAAAGACAAUAAUUUUUAAGAGAAGUUGAGAAUCUGUAUUUGAUAGAAAUUGAUUAAAGUUUAAAUCGAACUUAACAAUGGUGUCUUACCAUUUGCUAGUACCAAAAGGGAUCAAUAUGUUUAGUUUUGCUAUGUUCUGUCCUAGCCUGUAGUCUCCUAUACUGAUAUUAUUAAACAAGUGAUUUUGAUGAAUGAAGAACUGAUUGACAAGAGGGGUGUUUGGUUUCCUUUGAUUUGGGUCAUUUUUAGGGUGUUGAGGAAUAUUGUGAAAGUACGUGUGUAUUUGUGAAAGGAUUUGAAUAUUACAAUUGCAAUACAACUUAAAGAGAUCAUGUUUAAAGAUGAAGUUCCAUCUUUGGCUUUUACAUUUCCCUCUUUGAGAUUACAUAGUUGAGUAAAAUGGGAAGAAUUAUCACAGCACCUGUAAUUGCUAUAAAUCUGAUUUAUCACAGCACCUGUAAUUGCUAUAAAUCUGAAUAAUCACAGCACCUGUAAUUGCUAUAAAUCUGAUUUAUCACAGCACCUGUAAUUGCUAUAAAUCUGAUUUAUCACAGCACCUGUAAUUGCUAUAAAUCUGAUUUAUCACAGCACCUGUAAUUGCUAUAAAUGUCUGAAUUGAACUAGAUUGGCAGUAUGGUUUAACUUGUAUCUUAUGUUGAAGUGUAUCUGUGUCAUGACAUGCUGUUGUUUUCUUGGGGUGGGUGUCCAGGCAGGGACGUUGUUUCCAGUCAGAUGAAUAGGGGUGAUGUGGUUGUGUUGAGGGGUCUUUGGCUCCUAGAUUGAUGGAUUUAGACAGAUGACAUCACACAGGUCAUGAUUUCUGUUGCAGUAGUUCACAUGAAGGUUUGCUGAGUCUCAUGUGAUUGACUUAUGAUGAAAUAGAUUCUUAUAUUCCAACCUCCUCCCUCCACUUGCUGUUAGGAUAUGUACUAACUUGAGCUGCAAACCAUAUAUCACUCAUCACCAUUCGCUAUCAUUCUAAAUAAACUCUAUGCAUUUA